rnacentral:rRNA from 1 species
UACGUAGGGGGCUAGCGCUAUCCGGAAUUACUGGGCGUAAAGGGUGCGUAGGUGGUUUCUUAAGUCAGAGGUGAAAGGCUACGGCUCAACCGUAGUAAGCCUUUGAAACUGGGGAACUUGAGUGCAGGAGAGGAGAGUGGAAUUCCUAGUGUAGCGGCGAAAUGCGUAGAUAUUAGGAGGAACACCAGUUGCGAAGGCGGCUCUCUGGACUGUAACUGACACUGAGGCACGAAAGCGUGGGGAGCAAACAGG